CACCGUAUGGAUCGGCUCGUCGACUCUGUCGGCAUUAACAUCCGAUUUCGUAGACCGAAAUCGGUCUCGAUGUCAGCCGAUCAUGUCGGUGUCUUUUAAAUAGGUCGAUUUCGGCUUCGACGUCUGCCGAUAACGUCGGUAUGUCAAUUUUUUGGUGCAAAAGUGAAAAUUAUCAGGUAAGUUUUUCUAUUUUUUCAUAAAAUAAUUAAUUUAGAUACAGAAUUAGUGAUAAAUGUAAAGAAAACUUUAGUUUAGAUGCUAGAUUAUGGUCAGAACAUGGGGGAUUCUGAAAAUCCGGCCAAUAAAUCUUCCAAAUUUGCAAUUUAAUAUUUGCCUUCUUUGGGGUCAUUGUUUUUCAGAGUCUCUAAGAAUUUCAUACAACCCUCAUUUUUAGGUAAAUUUUAUUGAAUUUUUCUUGGCAGGAUCUUGAUCCUUGCCGUGUGUGAUGGUUUUAGAUUUAUGGUGGAAACUUCGUGUUGCGGAAUCAACGACCAGCACUGAGUGUUCUGGGCAAGAGCGACUACCCAUGUGGUGAGGAAGUUGGUCUGAUGAUCAUUGGUUCCGGUUUCGGAGGCUGGCUGCUAUUAAAGCUGCCCAGUUGGAGAUGAAGACCGUGUGCAUUGAGAAGAACGACACAUGUGGUGACACCUGCCUUAAUGUGUGAUAUAUCCCAUCGAAACCUCUCCUCAAUAAUACCCAUUAACAUUACGCAGCUCUUCAAGAAGAAGUGCAUCUCAUUAAGGGCUACAGGAGUAUCACGUCAGCCAAGGAAGUCACCGCCAAGGCGGAAUCUGGCUAAGAGAUGACUGCAAUGGGAGCAGAAGUCACCCCAUUUCCCCGACGGAUGGGUCGAAAGGUCAUAAAACGAAGGCUUGAAAAAUGCAUCUACAAGGGGUGUCCAUAUCAACGUACACGCGACUGUGACUUUUAAAAAUCCACGUGGGAAGCUAGCUGCCCCUUAGAGGGAUACCAUAAACGGAAACAUCCACAACUCUGCGUGGGAGUCUAGCUGCGCCUUAGGGGAAUACCGUCGGAGGCACCAGAGGCACUCGCAAUUCUUCAGUAUUAAAAAAAAACGACGUUCUUCAAGCUUCCGUCGUCGAAGAUCUUCGUGUUACAGCAUGCAUCAUGGGAUUCACAUGCAGAUAAGCCCAAAAUUAAUUUACCUUAUCAAAAUUGAUCAAAUGUGCUCUUUUCUAUAGCCUAAUCAUACCUUUUUUUCCAAAAUAUCCUAUUUUCCGUAAUAAUAAUUUUA